rnacentral:rRNA from 1 species
UACGAAGGGGGCUAGCGUUGUUCGGAUUUACUGGGCGUAAAGCGCACGUAGGCGGCUCGUUAAGUCGGGGGUGAAAUCCUGGAGCUCAAUUCCAGAACUGCCUUCGAUACUGGCGAUCUUGAGUCCGGAAGAGGUGAGUGGAACUCCUAGUGUAGAGGUGGAAUGCGCAGAUAUCAGGAAGAACACCGGUGGCGAAGGCGGCUCUCUGGGCCGUAACUGACGCUGAGGAGCGAAAGCGUGGGGAGCGAACAGG